rnacentral:misc_RNA from 1 species
GAUGAAGAACGUAGCGAAAUGCGAUAAGUAAUGUGAAUUGCAGAAUUCAGUGAAUCAUCGAAUCUUUGAACGCACAUUGCGCCCGCCAGUAUUCUGGCGGGCAUGCCUGUUCGAGCGUCAUUUCAACCAUCAAGCCCCAGGCUUGUGUUGGGGACCUGCGGCUGCCGCAGGCCCUGAAAACCAGUGGCGGGCUCGCUGUCACACCGGGCGUAGUAGAUUUUAUCUCGCUCAGGGCGUGCUGCGGGUUCCGGCCGUUAAAAAGCCUUUUUUACCCAAGGUUAACCUCGGAUCAGGUAGGAAGACCCGCUGAACUUAAGCAUAUCAAUAAGCGGAGGA